UCGAUUCGGAAGUGGGACAAUACAUAAAAUUCGUUUCCGUAUCAUAAGAAUUUAUAAAUAACAAUACAUAUAAUAGAUUUCCUAAACUGCUCACGCUGUGUGAACGAAGACGUAAGUAUAUGUUACUCAACAAAGUUUACAACACUAUGUAAGGAAGUUCCAAUAGACCAACUACAGUUCAAGACAUGGAAGGAUGCCAGUCUGUAGUCGUAGAAAAUAGUACAGAGCACGUCUUUUGUUCGUUACAUAGCAAAGAAACAACAUUUCUAUGCACAGGGUGUAGGCAAUUCAUUUGUGAUCAAUGCGUGGAAUCAGUACAUGCAAGGCAUGCAUUAAAAUCCAUCCCAAGAACAAACGUUAUACUAAGCAAUGAAAUACUUGAACAACAUAUUCAAAUAUAUAAAGAAGUAUGGAAGGGUGAAUUGGAUGAACAGUUGAACGCGAUGGAUCGUCAUGCAGCAAAACUUGUAGAGAUUAUAAAUAAAGUAAGAGAUUCCUACAAGGAGGAAAUCCUCCAAAAAAAUACACAGAACAAGUCAAUUCUUAAGGAGAUCGAAGAAGAGUCUGACAACAAUAAUCCACAUACAUUAUCGUUGAUACAAACAACUUUUACACCUUCAAAAAUAGAUUUUCUACGAAUAAAGCGACAAUUUGGAGAACUAAGUGCAGUUGAAAAAAAUGUUAGUCUUCAGCUAGGAUUAUUAAAUGGCUGGCCCCGUUUACAUACAGUUAAAAAUCUGGCAACAGAAAACUUUCAAGGUUUUGUCUAUCGGGGUAUGUCAUCUGAUAUCGAGGACGAAUAUGAUUAUUGUGAUGUAUAACAUAAUAUUUUGAUUUGUUUGGAAACAAGUGAAGUCUAAAUUUGAUUUAGAAAUUAUCAAACGGAAUAUCGUUUCGAAAUUAUAAUUUAUUAUUUG